rnacentral:SRP_RNA from 1 species
GCUGAGCUUAGUAACGUGAGCUUGUGACCCAAGUGGGAGCAUUAAGGUGAUGGAACAGGAUUUCAGCUCUCUGGGUCGGGCCUGUGGUUGGCAUUAUGCGGGCUCGCCCUCUCCAAGUUGAGAGUUGGUCCAUGUGGGUUGGGCGAAGGCCUGAUCUUCAUGGGCCUUAGAGUGGAGGGGACCGCGUGAGGCUGGUUUUCACAGAGCAACGAAAACCUCCCGCUCUUGUCAGUGGAAGGAUUACGAGCUUGCGCCUCCUUGGCCCAUUAGUUGCUCAGUUGGCUGAUUCUCCA